rnacentral:piRNA from 1 species
UGCACACCUACGUAAAGUAUUUCAAAGGCUAC